rnacentral:lncRNA from 1 species
CUUCCCCUUUCCACAGCAGCAGUCAAGGAAUUUUAAGUGUGCAGAUUGAUGACCAAAGGUUGUGGUUCCUGUCUCAGCAAUGGAGAAACKACCGUCUCAGAGAGGGAUCUAAUGUAGUUGAGGAAUAUAAGAAUAUGCCUGCUGGCCAGUAUGACAUGCUGCAGACUUGGGAGAAGAGGUUUACUGCCAGAUGGGAAAACCACCUCACACCCAGCUGUGAACGGGGAGACUCCAGACAACGCUGCGGACUCGGAUCAGUCUCGCGGCAGAGUCGGGCCCUCGCAGGUCCCUGCCAUUCGCUGGGUGCUCGCGGCAGCUAGCUCAUGCGAAAUGGGAAGGAGAUGUUAAAAAUCAUUCUCACUCUAUUCUAGACAUCCUUAAAGCUGGCAUAGCCAGAGGAGGAGAUUUUUUUUUUUCCAUGCAGUUUAUAACAGAAUACUAUGCGCAGCGGAGAGSCCGUGUUUCGCUUUGUAUUCAAUUUCUACAGGAUUGAAAGAAAAUAGAGGAGUCCUAUCCGUGUGUCACGGACACAAUGACGGGAAUGAAUGAACCUGGUGCCCUCUUGCCUGAUCGCAGCGCGGUGCUGGAUUUGGUGCRUUUAAGGCACAUGUUGUGGCUGCAUCCGUGGGAGGCUGGAGGUCGGGUGCCUCCAGGCACCUCUCCGUGCCCAGGGCAACGAUGAGCACGACCAGCUCCGACACGAGACGCUGCAGAUAUUGUCCUGCCAGGAAACCCAGGAGAAGGUUGGAGAUAAAGCAGGUAAACAYGAGCCAGAACGUCUCCUGCCAAAAGGUGAAGGGCAAAUCUGCAUUUAGGAGAUAGGAAGGUGGCACAGCCAAGCUCCUCGCUGGAAGGGCUGAUCUGGAGGUCAAGCAGCUCCCAGGGAAAGGCUGCACCCGGUGCAGGUGACGUGGUGGUCGCUCCUAUUCCUGUCCUGUGUCUCUGCCAAUUGGGCAGCUGUGCAAGGAAAUCUGUAUCUGCGUGGAAGCAGCAGCCGCUCUCUGCAGGACAAAUAAAAACCAGCAUUUCCUUCUUCA